rnacentral:rRNA from 1 species
CCAGACUCCUACGGGAGGCAGCAGUGGGGGAUAUUGCACAAUGGGGGGAACCCUGAUGCAGUGACGCCGCGUGCAGGAAGAAGGUUUUCGGAUUGUAAACUGCUUUAGAUAGGGAAGAAGAAAAGACAGUACCUAUAGAAUAAGCUCCGGCUAAAUACGUGCCAGCAGCCGCGGUAAUACGUAUGGAGCAAGCGUUAUCCGGAUUUACUGGGUGUAAAGGGAGCGCAGGCGGCCUUGCAAGUCUGAUGUGAAAGGCCGGGGCCCAACCCCGGGACUGCAUUGGAAACUGCGAGGCUGGAGUGUCGGAGAGGCAGGCGGAAUUCCUAGUGUAGCGGUGAAAUGCGUAGAUAUUAGGAGGAACACCAGUGGCGAAGGCGGCCUGCUGGACGAUGACUGACGCUGAGGCUCGAAAGCGUGGGGAGCAAACAGGAUUAGAUACCCCGGUAC